CGUAGGUGAACCUGCGGAAGGAUCAUUAUUGUAUAACCGAGGUGCGAGGGCUGUCGCUGACCCGAAAGGUCGUGCACGCCCGAGUGCCCUCACACGCAUCCAUCUCACCCCUAUGUGCACCACCGCGUGGGUCCCCCUUUGGCUUGUUCGGAGGGGGGCUUACGUUUUCACACAAACUUUGUAUGCAGUGUAGAAUGUAUUUUUUGUUUUUGCGAUCACGCAAUCAAUACAACUUUCAACAACGGAUCUCUUGGCUCUC
rnacentral:misc_RNA from 1 species